rnacentral:rRNA from 1 species
AUUGAACGCUGGCGGCAGGCCUAACACAUGCAAGUCGAACGGUAACAGGAAGAAGCUUGCUUCUUUGCUGACGAGUGGCGGACGGGUGAGUAAUGUCUGGGAAACUGCCUUAUGGAGGGGGAUAACUACUGGAAACGGUAGCUAAUACCGCAUAACGUCGCAAGACCAAAGAGGGGGACCUUCGGGCCUCUUGCCAUCGGAUGUGCCCAGAUGGGAUUAGCUAGUAGGUGGGGUAACGGCGCACCUAGGCGACGAUCCCUAGCUGGUCUGAGAGGAUGACCAGCCACACUGGAACUGAGACACGGUCCAGACUCCUACGGGAGGCAGCAGUGGGGAAUAUUGCACAAUGGGCGCAAGCCUGAUGCAGCCAUGCCGCGUGUAUGAAGAAGGCCUUCGGGUUGUAAAGUACUUUCAGCGGGGAGGAAGGGAGUAAAGUUAAUACCUUUGCUCAUUGACGUUACCCGCAGAAGAAGCACCGGCUAACUCCGUG